UUGUAGCUCAGUUGGAUAGAGCAACGGCCUUCUAAGCCGUGGGUCGGGGGUUCGAAUCCCUCCA
rnacentral:tRNA from 6 species